rnacentral:rRNA from 1 species
CCUUCUUUUUCUCUCUUUCCUCUUCCUUCCUUUUCUUCCCUCUUCCUCCUUCUGCUGGUAAGACAGGUGUGAAAUCCCCGGGCUUAACCUGGGAACUGCAUUUGUGACUGCCUAGCUAGAGUUUGUCAGAGGGGGGUGGAAUUCCACGUGUAGCAGUGAAAUGCGUAGAGAUGUGGAGGAACACCGAUGGCGAAGGCAGCCCCCUGGGCCGAUACUGACGCUCACGCACGAAAGCGUGGGGAGCAAACAG